GACAACCCUCUGGCUACAGGGAUUUUAUCCUCACAGGCACCUUUCGGCUCGAUGCCCACCAGGCUCUGGGGUGACCCCGUACCUUGAGCUGUUGUCCGCAAUAUGUGUGGCAAACCAGUGCCAUGCCUUAACUGAAGCCCUGCCUUCAACAGACCUCGUGUGCCCUCCGAGGAAUGGGGUGACCACAACAAAACCCAACCCUACUCCUAGGCCAUUAGACCCCUGUGGUAUAAUUAGAGCUGCCGAAGAUCUGGCGUGCUGAAUGGCUCGGUGAUAGACGAGGUCCAGCAGAUGUUGGAGAGAAUUAAUGCGUUUAGCCGGUGAGUUAGAAAAUGGAAGAAUGGAGAAGGGCAAAAAAUAAACAAAAUCCUAUCACAUGGCUCUUCUUAGCUUCUGCUUGGGCCCCUGAACGCUUCCCGAGCAGCAGGAGCACGACUUGGCUGUAAGGCUGCAUUAUGUAAGAGCAAUUUCUUUGUUCCCUCCCACUUCAAGAUUUAGCACCGGGGAAGGAAAAAAACAAAACAAAACAAAACAACAAAACCCACCUCCUAUGUGCAAAUGUAGAGGGGGGAGCAAACGUUAAGAGGAUGCUGAAUCCCUUUGAGCUAUUAAUGGAGAAUUGCAUAACAGCUGCCGCGGGGUUGCUAGGUUUUACCACGUCCCUGAGCGGUGUUUAAUAUUAACGGGACUCGUACUCGGGGUGGGAUCGCGGUGAGCCUGGAUACGGCCCUGCCGACGGCACAGCCGCUCGCAGGGUUUCCAUGGAGCUGUGAGCAGUGCUCCCUUGGUCCUCAGUGAAGUCCUCCCCGUGCCCUGCCAAAGCCAGCUCCCCCAGCGAGGCGGGCACAAGCGCAGCCGAGCGGCGCUCCGCUCUUUGCUGCUCGCCUGAUGGAUGUGCGGGGGUGUGCCCGCUUCGUCUGAAAAAAAGCAGGGUUUUAGAAAUUAUGCCUAUUUUCUCUUGCCUGGCAGCUCUGUGGAGCUGCGUGGUGCUUUUAACCCUCGUGUCCCCAGCUCCGUGACAGACGCCCACGCUGCUCUGCAACAACCAAAUGAAACAUCUCCCAGACUGGGGUCUGCCUCCAUUUCCCCCAGUAACCCAGCAAAUACAUUUUGGCUUCAAAUCUGGAGCAUUUUGAUGGAAGUAGCAGUGCGCACUUUUGACACCUUGGCUCUAUGGUACCAGUUUGCAUCUGUGCUGGGUGCUGGGGUGCUCUGCUUGUCCUUGCCCCUUGCAGAAGGGCACACGAGACGCCAGAGAUCCUGUAUAUUCAGUAUGCACAUACACCACGUUGAAGGAAAUGAGCUUCUAGCAAUGGGAAUCUGCACAAGAAGGACGUGGAGGAUGGGGGCGGCCCAGCCUCGCAGGGUGAAAUUUGCAGUUGUGUGGAAGGGACCCGAUGCCCUCCAGGCCCAUGCUCACCCUUCCCAUUGCAAAUAUACCCUGUUGGUGUACAGAAUGGCUCGGAAGCAGGCACAAGACUCCUUGGUUUUGUUUGUUUGUUUGUUUAUAUUUUUAACAGACCUUUGGGAAGAGCUCAGCAUGCCUACAUGGGUCUGGCCUGCACCCUGCCCAGUGCAAACCCAUGGCCCCUGAGGGCACGAGGCUUUGGGGGUGGCUCUGGGCCACUGCUACCUCCAGCCUGGUUGGUGGCACCUGGGAUAGAUGUCUCUGACCUGCUUGCCCUGUCCUCAGGGCACAGAUGACCAUCUUCAGUGAUGCCUUAAUAAACACCUGAAUUAAUAAACCA
rnacentral:lncRNA from 1 species